UACGUAGGGCGCAAGCGUUGUCCGGAAUUAUUGGGCGUAAAGAGCUCGUAGGCGGUUUGUCGCGUCUGCUGUGAAAACCUAAGGCUCAACCUUGGGCUUGCAGUGGGUACGGGCAGACUAGAGUGCGGUAGGGGUGACUGGAAUUCCUGGUGUAGCGGUGGAAUGCGCAGAUAUCAGGAGGAACACCGAUGGCGAAGGCAGGUCACUGGGCCGCAACUGACACUGAGGCGCGAAAGCGUGGGGAGCGAACAGG
rnacentral:rRNA from 1 species